rnacentral:rRNA from 1 species
UUGGAUUUUGGUAUCAGUGGCGAACGGGUGAGUAACACGUGGGUAACCUGCCCCUUAGUUGAGGAUAACUAUUGGAAACGAUAGCUAAUACUGAAUACGAUAUAUCUUCGCAUGAAUUUAUAUUAAAAGGAGCUUCGGCUUCGCUAAGGGAUGGACCUGCGGUGCAUUAGCUAGUUGGUGUGAUAAAAGCGCACCAAGGCGACGAUGCAUAGCCGGGCUGAGAGGCUGAACGGCCACAUUGGGACUGAGACACGGCCCAAACUUCUACGGAAGGCUGCAGUAGGGAAUUUUUCGCAAUGGACGAAAGUCUGACGAAGCAAUGCCGCGUGAGGGAUGACGGUUUUCGGAUUGUAAACCUCUGUUAUAAGAGAAGAACACUAAGUUAGGAAAUGAUAUCUAGCUGACGGUAUCUUAUCAGAAAGG